UACGGAGGGUGCAAGCGUUAUCCGGAUUCACUGGGUUUAAAGGGUGCGUAGGUGGUGGGGUAAGUCGGAUGUGAAAGCUCGGAGCUCAACUCCGAAAUGGCAUUGGAAACUACCCUGCUAGAGGAUUGGAGGGGGGACUGGAAUACUUGGUGUAGCAGUGAAAUGCGUAGAUAUCAAGUGGAACACCAGUGGCGAAGGCGAGUCCCUGGACAAUACCUGACACUGAGGCACGAAAGCUAGGGGAGCAAACAGG
rnacentral:rRNA from 1 species